rnacentral:rRNA from 1 species
GGGCCCGCACAAGCAGUGGAGUAUGUGGUUUAAUUCGAAGCAACGCGAAGAACCUUACCAGGGCUUGACAUAAUAGGGGAUAGUGUAGAGAUACGCUAGCUCUUCGGAGCUCUAUUACAGGUGGUGCAUGGUUGUCGUCAGCUCGUGUCGUGAGAUGUUGGGUUAAGUCCCGCAACGAGCGCAACCCCUGUUGUUAGUUGCCAUCAUUAAGUUGGGCACUCUAACGAGACUGCCGGUGACAAAUCGGAGGAAGGUGGGGACGACGUCAAAUCAUCAUGCCCCUUAUGUCCUGGGCUACACACGUACUACAAUGGCUAUUACAACGGGAAGCGAAGCCGUAAGGUGGAGCAAAUCCUGAAAAAUAGCCCCAGUUCAGAUUGUGGGCUGAAACCCGCCCACAUGAAGUCGGAAUUGCUAGUAAUGGCAGGUCAGCAUACUGCCGUGAAUACGUUCCCGGGCCUU